UAGGGAAUCUUCGGCAAUGGGGGGAACCCUGACCGAGCAACGCCGCGUGAGUGAAGAAGGUUUUCGGAUCGUAAAGCUCUGUUGUUAAGGAAGAACGAGUGUGAGAAUGGAAAGUUCAUGCUGUGACGGUACUUAACCAGAAAGGGACGGCUAACUACGUGCCAGCAGCCGCGGUAAUACGUCGGUCCCGAGCGUUGUCCGGAUUUAUUGGGCGUAAAGCGAGCGCAGGCGGUUAGAAAAGUCUGAAGUGAAAGGCAGUGGCUCAACCAAUGUAGGCUUUGGAAACUGUUUAACUUGAGUGCAGAAGGGGAGAGUGGAAUUCCAUGUGUAGCGGUGAAAUGCGUAGAUAUAUGGAGGAACACCGGUGGCGAAAGCGGCUCUCUGGUCUGUAACUGACGCUGAGGAUCGAAAGCGUGGGGGGCGAACAGG
rnacentral:rRNA from 1 species